GCAUUUUUAGGACCGCAUCUUUAGGACCGCAUCUUUAGGACCCUAGUUUUUUGUGAUAGCGUCAACUGUCGGAUUGGAUCAUGGAUGCGCUAAUGGACAACACGGAUGACAAGGAAAGUGCCAUCGUACAUGCUCUGGGUGUCUUGAGGAGCUUGUCUUUGGAGGAUGCUGAGCAGGUCUUUCUUUCUGGUAAAGAUUAUCAUUACAGUGAAGUAAAAUAAUUUAACAGACUGUUGACAAACAACUGACGAAAGAAGAGAGACCAUUCAAUAGUCCCUUUAUUUAUCAGGGGUUUCCAGAGCAGAAUGAACCGCAAACUUGUGCAGCAUAUGUUUUACACAGUGGAUACCCUUCCAGCCGCAACCCAGUACUGGGAAACGCCCAUUUACACUCAUACACUUGAACAUGGGGAGAACAUGCAAACUCCACACAGAAAUAACCACUGGCCCAGCCGGGGCUUGAAUCAGCAACCUUCUUGCUGUGAGGCGACGGUGCUUACCACUGUGCUGCCCUAUGUGCUCUAUGCGGAGGCCACUAGAGAUCGUGACCUGUGAAGAGAUGAUGCCA
rnacentral:lncRNA from 1 species